rnacentral:lncRNA from 1 species
UAAUACAUUAUGGUUUAUUGCCCUUAAUCAACCAAGCCAAUAGCUAUAUAUUGCAUUUUAUUGUUUUUAAAUAAAUGUAAAUUCUCUAAUUUAAAUGUAGCAGAUAAUUUCAUUGACUCCCAUACAAACAAGAAAUAGACAUAGUCAAGAAAGCAAGCAGAGAAUAUUGGCUCUAUGAAACUUGAUUUUAUAGCUUUUAGCUAGAUCUCCUUUUAAAUGCCUGCAACAGGAAAGAAAGAAGGGAAGGGAAAAGUGGGAAAGGAUUAGGAGGAAGGAGAGAAUAUCACACUGAGGGGCAGUAAGGAGUGGAAGCAAAGAGAGUAAGACUAAAGGGAAAGAGAAGCUGAAAGAGACUGAGGCAGCCAGAACGAAGCUUACAGACUCAGUUGGAUCAUGUUUCUUGCUCAGUAACUUCCAAUGGUUUCCCAUUUUAUUUAGGGUCAAAGCCACCAUCCUUUUAAUGGUCUAUAAGGCCUUACACUUUUUUUCCUUCUUUAAUUCUCUGACCUUAUCUCCUGCUACUCUACUCCAGCUCACUGGCCUCCUUCCCUCCCUCAAAAUCGCAGAUGGGCUCCUGGCCCAGAGUUCUGCACUGGCUAUUUUCUCUUCUAGAAAUUGUUCUUCCCAUCGGACUUCUGGUUCUCUCAAGUCUUUACUCACAUGUCAACUUCUCAAAGAGGCUUGUCCUUAGGACGGAUGAGGGAGAUGAUGAAGCGAUUCUUUCUAACAACUCUCGCAAUCCUCCUUGCUUCCCUCUAUUAUUGUUUCUCCUUAUCCAGGGUCCUUGUCAUGUCAAUAGAAUUUAUCACAUUUAUGGUUUAAUAUCUAUCUCCUACAAAAGAAUAUAAACUCUGAAAAAUAUAGGAUUUUAUUUUUUUAUCUUUUUGUUCACUUAUAUACCCCCAACAUUGUGAACAUUGGAUGGCUCAUAGCAGUUAAUAUAAAC